GUGGGGAAUAUUGCGCAAUGGGCGAAAGCCUGACGCAGCCACGCCGUGUGUGUGAUGAAGGCCUUCGGGUCGUAAAGCACUGUCGGGAGGGAAGAUAGUCACUGUAGUUAAUACCUAGAGUGACCGACGGUACCUCCAAAGGAAGCACCGGCUAACUCUGUGCCAGCAGCCGCGGUAAGACAGAGGGUGCGAGCGUUGUUCGGAAUCAUUGGGCGUAAAGCGCACGUAGGCGGUUUUGCAAGUCGAAUGUGAAAGCCCGGGGCUCAACCCCGGAAGGGCAUUCGAAACUGCAUCACUUGAGUCCCGGAGAGGGUGGUGGAAUUCCUGGUGUAGAGGUGAAAUUCGUAGAUAUCAGGAGGAACACCUGUGGCGAAGGCGACCACCUGGACGAGGACUGACGCUGAGGUGCGAAAGCGUGGGGAGCAAACAGG
rnacentral:rRNA from 1 species